GACAGCCCGAAUGAAAUGUCUUUCUGGAACUUUCAUUCCUCAGAAGCGAGGCGUUUCCUCGAAGAGGAGGAGGGUGAAGUGGACAGUGAGGUGGAUUUCCCUCGACCGACAGGGAGGGACGAGGGCCUCAAUACCUACAGUCACUGUCCACCUUCAGCUCAGAGAAUUUCUCGGUGUCAGAUGGGGAUGAGGGAACACCACUGAACCGUCCCACAGCUGCACCCGGACGGUGCUGGAGCCGAGGGCAGGCCGGGGAUCCUGCCGGGGGCGCACCCCCGCCCCCCACCUCCGACACCACCCUCCGCCUGCCGCUGUCUGACGGCCUCUCGGACCAGGAGGCGGCACUGCAACACGUCAAGAGCGUGGUCUCAGCCGGCCGGCUCUGCCCCGGGGGUCUCCCGUCACAGAGACCACCUCGUCGUGAAGAUUCAGACCCGGAGAUACCCGAAAUGGAACAGGGGGGGCCCUCGCCAGAGCUCGCCCAAGGCUCCCGGAAUUCAGCCUCCUGGUGACGAGGCGUUCCCUUUAACCCCCCCCCCCAACACCCCACAGCUGUAAAUAGCACACUCUAUAACUCCCCUCCAAACUCACUCACCCCACCGACCCUGGGCACGGGCUCACUCCGUACCCCCACGCCCCACCCCCUCAUCAAGCCUGGGCAUGGGCUUGCUCCAUAGCAACCCCUACCUCACCCACCCAUCCACCUCUCCCCUUCCCCAACUGAGUCUGGGCACGGGCUCGGUCCAUACCACCCUCCUGCCCUACCCUCAGCCAGCUCAGCCAAAGUACACAGGAAGGUUUGUGGCCAGGGUUGGGGGGGGGGGGGGGGGCGCGUCUGUGAAGGU